AGACCCGAAACCCGGUGAUCUAGCCAUGGGCAGGUUGAAGGUUGGGUAACACUAACUGGAGGACCGAACCGACUAAUGUUGAAAAAUUAGCGGAUGACCUGUGGCUGGGGGUGAAAGGCCAAUCAAACCGGGAGAUAGCUGGUUCUCCCCGAAAGCUAUUUAGGUAGCGCCUCGUGAAUUCAUCUCCGGGGGUAGAGCACUGUUUCGGCUAGGGGGUCAUCCCGACUUACCAACCCGAUGCAAACUGCGAAUACCGGAGAAUGUUAUCACGGGAGACACACGGCGGGUGCUAACGUCCGUCGUGAAGAGGGAAACAACCCAGACCGCCAGCUAAGGUCCCAAAGUCAUGGUUAAGUGGGAAACGAUGUGGGAAGGCCCAGACAGCCAGGAUGUUGGCUUAGAAGCAGCCAUCAUUUAAAGAAAGCGUAAUAGCUCACUGGUCGAGUCGGCCUGCGCGGAAGAUGUAACGGGGCUAAACCAUGCACCGAAGCUGCGGCAGCGACACUGUGUGUUGUUGGGUAGGGGAGCGUUCUGUAAGCCUGUGAAGGUGGCCUGUGAGGGUUGCUGGAGGUAUCAGAAGUGCGAAUGCUGACAUAAGUAACGAUAAAGCGGGUGAAAAGCCCGCUCGCCGGAAGACCAAGGGUUCCUGUCCAACGUUAAUCGGGGCAGGGUGAGUCGACCCCUAAGGCGAGGCCGAAAGGCGUAGUCGAUGGGAAACGGGUUAAUAUUCCCGUACUUGGUGUUACUGCGAAGGGGGGACGGAGAAGGCUAUGUUGGCCGGGCGACGGUUGUCCCGGUUUAAGCGUGUAGGUGUGUGUUCCAGGUAAAUCCGGUUCACUUUAACACUGAGGCGUGACGACGAGGCACUACGGUGCUGAAGCAACAAAUGCCCUGCUUCCAGGAAAAGCCUCUAAGCAUCAGGUAACAUCAAAUCGUACCCCAAACCGACACAGGUGGUCAGGUAGAGAAUACCAAGGCGCUUGAGAGAACUCGGGUGAAGGAACUAGGCAAAAUGGUGCCGUAACUUCGGGAGAAGGCACGCUGACAC
rnacentral:rRNA from 1 species